UGAGUACGAGAUGCUACGGCAUUGAAGCAGUCUAUGUCAUACUUCCAAGAAAAGCUUGCACUGUCAUAAACAAAGAAUGCCUGUACCAUAACCGACACAGGUGGGUAGGUAGAGUAUACUAAGGGGCGCGAGAUAACUCUCUCUAAGGAACUCGGCAAAAUGACUCCGUAACUUCGGGAGAAGGAGUGCCUUAUUUUUAAGGUUGCAAUAACAAGAUCCAAGCAACUGUUUAUCAAAAACACAGGUCUCCGCUAAGUCGUAAGACGAUGUAUGGGGGCUGACGCCUGCCCAGUGCCAGAAGGUUAAAGAAGUUGGUUAGCAUUCGCGAAGCUGAUAACUGAAGCCCUGGUGAACGGCGGCCGUAACGAUAACGGUCCUAAGGUAGCGAAAUUCCUUGUCGGGUAAGUUCCGACCCGCACGAAAGGCGUAAUGAUUUGGAUACUGUCUCGGAGAGGGACUCGGUGAAAUAGACUUGUCUGUGAAGAUGCGGACUACCUGCACCUGGACAGAAAGACCCUAUGAAGCUUUACUGUAACUUGAAAUUGAAAUUGGACUUUAGUUGCGCAGGAUAGGUGGGAGGCGUUGAGAAUAUUCUUGCGGGAGUAUUGGAGCCAUCAGUGAGAUACCACUCUUCUAAUGUUAGAUUUCUAACUUUGUAUCAUUAUCUGGUCAAAGAACAGUUUCAGGCGGGCAGUUUGACUGGGGCGGUCGCCUCCUAAAGGGUAACGGAGGCGCACAAAGGUUUCCUCUGAACGAGUAGAAAUCGUAUCUAGAGUGUAAAGGCAUAAGGAAGCUUGACUGUGAGACCUACAAGUCGAGCAGGGACGAAAGUCGGUCUUAGUGAUCUGACGGUGCUGAGUGGAAAGGCCGUCACUCAACGGAUAAAAGUUACUCUAGGAUAACAGGCUGAUCUCCCCCAAGAGUUCACAUCGACGGGGAGGUUUGGCACCUCGAUGUCGGCUCAUCGCAUCCUGGGGCGGUAGUACGUCCCAAGGGUUGGGCUGUUCGCCCAUGAAAGCGGUACGCGAGCUGGGUUCAGAACGUCGUGAGACAGUUCGGUCCAUAUCCGGUGUAGGCGUUAGAAUAUUGAGAGGAGCCUUCUCUAGUACGAGAGGACCGAGAAGGACAUACCUCUAGUGUACCAGUUAUCGUGCCAACGGUAAACGCUGGGUAGCUAUGUAUGGAGUGGAUAACCGCUGAAAGCAUCUAAGUGGGAAGCCCACCUCAAGAUAAGUAUUCUC
rnacentral:rRNA from 1 species